GAUUUGGUUCAGGAUGAACGCUAGCUACAGGCCUAACACAUGCAAGUCGAGGGGCAGCAGAUCGAAAGCUUGCUUUGAUGCUGGCGACCGGCGAAUGGGUGAGUCACGCGUGUCCAACCUGCCCUGUGCCCGGGGGAUAGCCCUUGGAAAUGAGGAUUAACACCCGAUAGGUGGCGCUUCCGCAUGGCGGCGCCAUGAAACCGACACAGGAUGGGGACGCGUCGGAUUAGCUUGACGGCGGGGCGACGGCCCACCGUGGCGACGAUCCGCAGGGGUUCUGAGAGGAAGGUCCCCCCACACUGGCACUGAGACACGGGCCAGACUCCUACGGGAGGCAGCAGUGAGGAAUAUUGGUCAAUGGCCGAGAGGCUGAACCAGCCAAGUAAGCGUGCAGGACGACGGCCCUACGGGUUGUAAACUGCUUUUGCGGGAGGAUAAAGGACGCCACGUGUGGCGUUUUGCAGGUAUCCCGUGAAUAAGGACCGGCUAAUUCCGUGCCAGCCGCCGC
rnacentral:rRNA from 1 species